rnacentral:rRNA from 1 species
UCCCUUUAUGGAGAGUUUGAUCCUGGCUCAGGACGAACGCUGGCGGCGUGCCUAAUACAUGCAAGUCGAGCGGAGUUAUUCCUUCGGGGAUGACUUAGCGGCGGACGGGUGAGUAACACGUAGGCAACCUGCCCUCAAGACCGGGAUAACAUUCGGAAACGAAUGCUAAGACCGGAUACGCAAGCCUGGGGCAUCUCGGGCUUGGGAAACACGGUUUCGG